AGAUUAGGGAUGAGCUCGUGGACAGCGAGGGAUUCACUGUUGCCGUGGAAACCAGAUUCCUGGAUACCUGGGAGCGCCUCUCGGGGCAUGGCAGAGCUUGUGGAUGCAGGGUUGGUAAAAGCCAUUGGAAUCUCCAAUUUCAACAGCCAUCCAACUGAAUCCAUUCUGAACACACCAGGCCUCAAGAACAAACCUGCCAACAACCAGGGUCAAACCAGACAACCCCUGUUUAUUUCAAGACCCAAACAUCAAGGACAUAACUGAGAAGCACCAGAGGACUAUAUCUCAGGUGUUUGACUUUGAACUGAGCAAAGAGGACAUAAGGACCAUGUUAUUACUGAACAGGAACUACAGAGUCUUUCCUCUGCCCUCAUACGGGGCUGAAGCACAAAGACUACCCCUUCAGUGAUGAAUUUGAAGAGGCACGUAUACCCGCCAUUGAAGUCUCCAGCUUCACUCCAUUACAGAUCACAUUCUACCUAAUCUUAAUAUGGAUGGAGGGCCCUCCCCUGUGCUGUCAAUCAUAUUGAAUUAUUUAUAUUCAUUAUAAUCACAAGAACAAUAUAGUACAUAAAUUGUAUGCAUAACAUGUUGCAGAAAACAUUUAUAUAGCCUGGCCUAUAAUUUAAGAUUCUCAAAGAUUGUUAUUGUCACUGUUGUUCUCAUUUCAUUGUCUCAUAGCUAAUUUAACACUAAAUAUUUAAUGAACACAGAUUAGUAUUUGUGAGAAUAAAACAAACAUUCUCACU
ensembl:lncRNA